AUUGAACGCUGGCGGCAGGCCUAACACAUGCAAGUCGAACGGUAACAGGGAUCAGCUUGCUGAUUCGCUGACGAGUGGCGGACGGGUGAGUAAUGUCUGGGAAACUGCCUGAUGGAGGGGGAUAACUACUGGAAACGGUAGCUAAUACCGCAUAACGUUGCAAGACCAAAGAGGGGGACCUUCGGGCCUCUUGCCAUCGGAUGUGCCCAGAUGGGAUUAGCUAGUAGGUGGGGUAACGGCUCACCUAGGCGACGAUCCCUAGCUGGUCUGAGAGGAUGACCAGCCACACUGGAACUGAGACACGGUCCAGACUCCUACGGGAGGCAGCAGUGGGGAAUAUUGCACAAUGGGCGCAAGCCUGAUGCAGCCAUGCCGCGUGUAUGAAGAAGGCCUUCGGGUUGUAAAGUACUUUCAGCGGGGAGGAAGGGAGUAAAGUUAAUACCUUUGCUCAUUGACGUUACCCGCAGAAGAAGCACCGGCUAACUCCGU
rnacentral:rRNA from 1 species